AAAUAUUAAGGCGAUGGAGUUCGCCAUUAACCGCUUGCCUGCAAGCUGAUGACUCCUGCCCUCCG
rnacentral:ncRNA from 2 species